rnacentral:rRNA from 1 species
UGUAAGCGUAUACCAAAGUUGUUGCAGUUAAAACGCUCGUAGUCGGAAUUUGGCAGUGCCGGAUGUGUGCACGUCGUGUGCGCACUUCGCGGGGAUUGCUUUUGUGGUCUUGCGUAGGAUGAGGCACUUUUAUUAGUGAACGUCCUCACGCAACCACUUUUUACUGUGAGAAAAUCAGAGUGCUCAAAGCAGGCAUUUGCCGUGAAUGUAUUAGCAUGGAAUAAUAGAAUAGGACUUGGUUCUAUUUUGUUGGUUUGUUGGGACUGAGUAAUGAUUAAGAGGGACAGUUGGGGGCAUUUGUAUUUCGGUGCUAGAGGUGAAAUUCUUAGAUUACCGAAAGACAAACUGCUGCGAAAGCGUCUGCCAAGGAUGUUUUCAUUGA